AAAUUAUAUAUCUUUUUCAAUCAAAUUUAGCUCAUAAAAAUAAUUAGAAAAUUUCAGAUAUAGAGGUGUGUAAUUUGAGCCCUAAUUAUUGAUCAUGGUAAUGGUUUGACUAAUUAUCAAACGUAUCAAUAUUUUACUUUUAAAAAACUUGUCAUACAAUGUAUCGUUGUAUAUGUUAGCUCUGUAUCGAUUCGCUCUAUAUCAAAACUAACAGAUACAAAGCUAAUUGAUACAACUCACAGAGCUAUAAACAGAUAAAACUCAAACUCUUGUUAUGUGUAUUUUAAUUGGGGGUCAAAUUAGGUAUGACCAAAGUCAGCACAUCUAAAAGCUUGGGACAGUAUAGGCCGCCUAUAUAACCAAAUUACUUAUAAAUAAACUUUUUAAAUCAUAUACAAACAAAUUUGUUUGGUUUUAGUAGCUAAAUUUGAUAAUUAAACAAAUUACAAAUGAGCAAAUAAACAAAUAAAAAAUGAUUUUGAAUUGAAUGGGCUGAUUAUGACUUUUUUUUUUUUAGCGCAAAUUCAUCUAUCCAUCUUGACCAAUCAAAUUUUGGAUGGAUUAUGACCUUGCACUUUUUUUUAACCCCCUCCCGAGCUUCCACCUUUUUUUUUUCUCAACUCAAAUCCAUAAUUUCAAAAUUGGAGAUGACUAACUUACGUUCGAAUAAUCCCUUUGUCUACUAUGACCUUGCACAUUUAUUAAUUCAACUUUUUUUAACUUUGGAUCUCACUUUUGACCUCGAACUUUAAUAAAGCUACAACUAGAGGUUAUUUUAACCAUAUAUUCAAAGUCAAAGAAGUAAAUUUAAACAAACUUUCUCAAAAAAGUAAAAGUUUAAGUAAGUACUCAAUUAACUGAGUUUCUAAGAUUCCUCGACCAAAAUGCUUUUCUUUGUGAUAUCUACUACAUACCUUUUUUCCAAUAUAAUCAGCCCAAAACCUAGCAUGAGCUCUCUCGUAAGGAUCACUAGGCAUCAAAGGUGGUGAUUUGUCCUUCCAAACUUCAUCUAUGUACUCAACAAUUAUGAGUGACUCACAAAUUGGUUUUCCAUUAUGGAUCAACACUGGGAUUUUCUUGUGAAUUGGAUUCAUUUGUAAGAGUAAAUGACUUUUGUUCAUCAAAUCCUCCUCUUUGUAUUCAUAUUGG